UCGGAGAGGGAGCCUGAGAAACGGCUACCACAUCUAAGGAAGGCAGCAGGCGCGUAAAUUACCCAAUCCUGACUCAGGGAGGUAGUGACAAGAAAUAACAACUCGGGGGAUUCAUAUCCUUACGGGAUUGCAAUGAGAACAAUUUAAAUCACUUAACGAGGAUCAAUUGGAGGGCAAGUCUGGUGCCAGCAGCCGCGGUAAUUCCAGCUCCAAUAGUGUAUAUUAAAGUUGUUGCAGUUAAAAAGCUCGUAGUUGAACUUCUGGCAGUGUGCAGUUUUGGUCUUGCUAUCAGGCUGCAUUGCUGUCAUCCGUCUGCAAACCUCGUACAACCUUUAGUGGCUUGGCGAGGGGAGUAGACAUUUUACUUUGAAAAAAUUAGAGUGUUUCAAGCAGGUUAUUGCCAGAAUACUUUAGCAUGGAAUAAUGGAAUAGGACUCUUGUCCAUUUGGUUGGUUAUUGGACCAGAGUAAUGAUUAACAGGGACAGUUGGGGGCAUUAGUAUUUAAUUGUCAGAGGUGAAAUUCAUGGAUUUAUUAAAGACUAACUUAUGCGAAAGCAUUUGCCAAGGAUGUUUUCAUUAAUCAAGAACGAAAGUUAGGGGAUCAAAGACGAUCAGAUACCGUCCUAGUCUUAACUAUAAACGAUGUCGACUCGGGAUUGGGAAGGUAUUUCCAAUUAUCCUUUCCAGCACCGUAUGAGAAAUCAUUAAGUCUUUGGAUUCUGGGGGGAGUAUGGUCGCAAGGCUGAAACUUAAAGGAAUUGACGGAAGAGCACCACCAGGCGUGGGACCUGCGGCUUAAUUUGACUCAACACGGGAAAACUUAUUUCAGCAAAACAUGAGUGGGAUUGACAGAUUGAGAGCUCUUUCUUGAUUUUAUGGGGUGUGGUGCAUGGCCGUUCUUAGUUGGUGGAGUGAUUUGUCUGGUUAAUUCCGUUAACGAACGAGACCUUAACCUGCUAACUAGUCAGCGUGUUACCCUACGCGUUGUACUUCUUAGAGGGACUAUGGGUAAUAAGCCCAUGGAAGUUUGAGGCAAUAACAGGUCUGUGAUGCCCAUAGAUGUUGAAAGCGGCACGCGCGUCAUACUGUCCAGUAACAGCAAGUUUUACUUCCUCUGCCGGAAGGCUAGGGGUAAUCUAUAAAACUGGACGUGGUAGGGAUAGAUCUUUGGAAUUAUAGAUCUUGAACGAAGAAUGCCUAGUAAGUGCAAGUCACCAACUUGUGCUGAUUACGUCCCUGUCCUUUGUACACACCGCCCGUCGCUCCUACCGAUUUCGAGCGAUAUGGUGAAUCUCCUGGACCGUGGAGCUCCCUCGUGGGCUUCGUGGAAAGUUUAGUAAACCUUAUCGCUUAGAGGAAGGAAAAGUCGUAACAAGGUAGCCGUA
rnacentral:rRNA from 1 species